rnacentral:rRNA from 1 species
AGUGAACGCUGGCGGCAGGCCUAACACAUGCAAGUCGAGCGGCAGCGGGUUCCCGCGAGGGGAUGCCGGCGAGCGGCGGACGGGUGAGGAACACAUCGGAAUCUGCCUGGUUGUGGGGGAUAACGUAGGGAAACUUACGCUAAUACCGCAUGCGACCCUGAGUCGACGGACUGGGGGUGAAAGUGAGGGACCUUCGGGCCUCACGCGACCAGAUGAGCCGAUGUCGGAUAGCUAGUUGGCGGGGUAACGGCCCGCCAAGGCGACGAUCCGUAGCUGGUCUGAGAGGAUGAUCAGCCACACUGGGACUGAGACACGGCCCAGACUCCUACGGGAGGCAGCAGUGGGGAAUCUUGGACAAUGGGCGCAAGCCUGAUCCAGCCAUGCCGCG